AGAGUUUGAUCCUGGCUCAGGAUGAACGCUGGCGGCGUGCUUAACACAUGCAAGUCGAACGAUGAUCCCAGCUUGCUGGGGGAUUAGUGGCGAACGGGUGAGUAACACGUGAGUAACCUGCCCUUAACUCUGGGAUAAGCCUGGGAAACUGGGUCUAAUACCGGAUAUGACUCCUCAUCGCAUGGUGGGGGGUGGAAAGCUUUAUUGUGGUUUUGGAUGGGCUCGCGGCCUAUCAGCUUGUUGGUGAGGUAAUGGCUCACCAAGGCGACGACGGGUAGCCGGCCUGAGAGGGUGACCGGCCACACUGGGACUGAGACACGGCCCAGACUCCUACGGGAGGCAGCAGUGGGGAAUAUUGCACAAUGGGCGAAAGCCUGAUGCAGCGACGCCGCGUGAGGGAUGACGGCCUUCGGGUUGUAAACCUCUUUCAGUAGGGAAGAAGCGAAAGUGACGGUACCUGCAGAAGAAGCGCCGGCUAACUACGUGCCAGCAGCCGCGGUAAUACGUAGGGCGCAAGCGUUAUCCGGAAUUAUUGGGCGUAAAGAGCUCGUAGGCGGUUUGUCGCGUCUGCCGUGAAAGUCCGGGGCUCAACUCCGGAUCUGCGGUGGGUACGGGCAGACUAGAGUGAUGUAGGGGAGACUGGAAUUCCUGGUGUAGCGGUGAAAUGCGCAGAUAUCAGGAGGAACACCGAUGGCGAAGGCAGGUCUCUGGGCAUUAACUGACGCUGAGGAGCGAAAGCAUGGGGAGCGAACAGGAUUAGAUACCCCCGUAGUCC
rnacentral:rRNA from 1 species